ACCAGAAAGUCGAAAAUCCUUCAGUCUCAAAGUACUGAUACACACAUACUGACACAGCACAUAAAGCCAGGUAGCAAACACACCCACAAACUUCUCUAAAAUGGCCAUGAGAGGAACUAAUGGGUUGGUUUAGGUUUGACCUCCAAGAAGUGGUGGCAAUCUUGCUGCACUUACUCAUAGCAUCCACAGGGUGGCAGUGUGGGCCAGGAUUUGUAAUAAAAUGGGGAGUGGCACUUUCAUAUAAAGAAAAGACAGCCGAUCACCUGCAGAGGUUUCAGUGACACUGUACUUGGAUUGCUAAACUGCCCUGGGAGUGUACUGGCAUACUGGUAGCUCCAUUUAAGAAGAAACAGAUCAUAUAAAGCCAAUGUCAUACUGGGACAGCAGCCAAACAGACCAUGAAAAUCAUUGGCAGAUGAUAAUGAAGCCUGAGGAGAAAGCAGUGGACUGGUGUGUUUGCUUAAAGUCAGUGUGAAAUCAGAAUCUUUAAUCUUCAAGCUCGAUUUAAAGAAAAGUAAUCUUUUGUAAAAAAUGCAACCAUUCAGUUUACAAAGUAAUU